UACGUAGGGGGCAAGCGUUGUCCGGAAUCAUUGGGCGUAAAGCGCGUGUAGGCGGCCCGAUAAGUCCGCUGUGAAAGUCCAGGGCUCAACCCUGGAAUGCCGGUGGAUACUGUCGGGCUCGAGUCCGGAAGAGGCGAGUGGAAUUCCUGGUGUAGCGGUGAAAUGCGCAGAUAUCAGGAGGAACACCGGUGGCGAAGGCGCCACUCUGGGCCGGUACUGACGCUGAGGAGCGAAAGCGUGGGUAGCAAACAGG
rnacentral:rRNA from 1 species